CAAGAGUAAGGCAGAACAGUUGGGCUCCAGACUACAGCAGUGGAAUCUCCUGGCAGCAGCUUUGCACGCAGCGCAUGCCUGCCCACAAGCAGCUCUGCAAGCAGCGCACGCCUGCCCACAAGCUUCAGAUGCCGUGUUGCAUCAGUUGAAAAGGUAAAAUGAAGAAGCCGCUGGAUAACAGGGUUCACUCUUUCAGGUUCCAUAUUUGAGUUCUCUUUUGGAUCCAUUUUCCAACAGGAUCCCUGCAGUUCCUCUUCACAUUCCUGCCUGGGUCUCCUAUUCUUUUGACUGGAUAGUAUCUUAGUAGUAUAUUUUAUUCCCUUUCGUUGAUGUUUAGUUAUUCUAAUGACUUGGUAUGCUAACUCCUAAACACCAGGAUGUGAUCUAAUGGUUAAAUUAUAGAAGAAAAGUCAGUGAAAAGGUUUAACACGGGUAUGCAAAGGAAAAAAUGUAGAUCUGGUCAUAUGUUUUGCAUGGAUAGAAGAGUUCUGGUUUUACUUAUACUCCUUGAUAGGCUACCUGGAGACUACACAAAGCACUAACAAAUGGAGUAGGGCUGCAUUUACUUUGGCAAAAAUGGGAUUCAUAAUUCAUCACAGGGUGGAUUAAAAUGUUUUAUUUAUUUAUUUAUUUAUUUAUUUUAUUUCAAUUGUAAUUUCUCAAUCUGUUCAAUGAAAUCUGAGUUUAAUACAAAAUAUGUUAAGGCCUAAAUUUAAAAUAAUCUCAAACAUUUUAAUAAAUAUACUGAAUCCAUAAGUCUUUAUCAAAAGUUUUAAAGGCUGCUUUCCUAUGUAAAGAAAGGAACGGGAAAAUCUUGUUUCUGACAUCAAGCUUUAUAGAUUGGCACAAUAGGUCGUGUACUGUAUUAAGGGCUUGUUUUUUUAAUAAAAAAUAAAAUUUA